rnacentral:rRNA from 1 species
CGGUUGAUCCCGCCGGACCUUACUGCUAUCGGGGUGGGACUAAGACAUGCGAGUCAGGCGUCUCUAGCUAUGUUGAGACGCGGCAGACGGCUCAGUAACGCGUGGCUAACCUGCCCUCAGGACGAAGAUAACCCCGGGAAACUGGGGAUAAUAUUCGAUAGGUGAGGAUGUCUGGAAUGACUUCUCUCCUAAAGGACUUAGAUACAUGCUUCUAUUUCGCCUGGGGAUGGGGCCGCGCCCGAUCAGGUUGUUGGUGAGGUAACGGCUCACCAAGCCUAUAACCGGUACGGGCCGUGAGAGCGGUAGCCCGGAGAUGGGUACUGAGACAAGGACCCAGGCCCUACGGGGCGCAGCAGUCGCGAAAACUCCGCAAUGCACGAAAGUGUGACGGGGCUACCCCGAGUGCCAUCCGCUGAGGAUGGCUUUUCUUUGGUAUAACUAGCCAUUGGAAUAAGGAGAGGGCAAGACUGGUGUCAGCCGCCGCGGUAAUACCGGCUCUCCGAGUGGUAGGGAUGAUUAUUGGGCUUAAAGCGUCCGUAGCCUGCUUAGCAAGUUUCCUGUUAAACUCAGCGACUCAAUCGUUGGAUCGCGGGAAAUACUACUAGGCUAGGAGGCGGGAGAGGUCAACGGUACUUCUGGGGUAGGGGUGAAAUCCUAUAAUCCCGGGAGGACCACCA